CCUACGGGUUGCUGCAGUCGAGAAUCAUUCACAAUGGGGGAAACCCUGAUGGUGCGACGCCGCGUGGGGGAAUGAAGUUCUUCGGAUUGUAAACCCCUGUCAUGUGGGAGCAAAUUAAAAAGAUCGUACCCCAAGAAGCAGAGCCUGCGAACUCUGUCCCAGCAGCCGCGGUAAUACAGAGGUCUCAAGCGUUGUUCGGAAUCACUGGGCGUAAAGCUUGCGUAGUCUGUUUCUUAAGUCGGGUGUGAAAGGCGCGGGCUCAACCCGCGGACGGCACAUGAUACUGCGAGACUAGAGGAAGGGAGAGGGAAACGGAAUUCUCGGUGUAGCAGUGAAAUGCGUAGAGAUGGAGAGGAACACUCGUGGCGAAGGCGGGUUCCUGGACAGUAACUGACGCUGAGGCACGAAGGUCAGGGGAGCGAAAGGGAUUAGAUACCCGAGUAGUC
rnacentral:rRNA from 1 species